UACAUCUUGCUUGGUAACUUGGAUAAUGGCCGCUAGGUAAGAUGAGCGGAUGGGCCGCGUCGUUUCAGCGUGAAGUGCUCACUCCGGGAGGACCGUUAACUCGGGCGGUGGCGAGUUAAAAUGGUCGAUAUCCGACCCGUAAGGCAUCCAGAAACAGUUGUACAUUGUGCGAACAUCGUCAUUCAAACACCACCCACUAUUAACAUCACGUCUUAGUGGUCAGUUCUGCCUACGGAUCAGAGCUUAAACUGAAACCAUGGCAGUGAAGGACCGCGUAGAGGCUGUGCUCAAUGUGGGUCUGCGUGUUCCCAGCAUCAUGCUGUUGGAUGUCCUCUACCGCUGGGAUGUCAGCUCCUUCUUCCAGAAGAUCCAGCGCUCCAGCCUUUCCAAUAACCCCCUUUUUCAGUACAAGUAUCUGGCCCUCUACCUGCACUACGUAGGUCAGUGCCACCUUUCCUGUAUUAAAACUUAAGAAAAUGUUUGGUGUAACUGAGACACUUUGUUUAAAUGCUUUGCAAUGUCUGUACCACAUUAAAGAGUUCCUCAUUUGAAAA